GUGCUCGCUUUAGCAGCACAUAUGCCAAAAUCGGAACCAUACAGAGAUCAGCAUGGUCCCUGCACAAGGAUGAUAUGCAAAUUCGUGAAGUGCUCCAUAUUUUA